CCAGCAUGCUGAGGAACUCUGGGAAGAAGUCGCCGACCUCUUCGUCCACGGCUCCGACCAGACUGACCUGCCGCAUGGCGCCGGCACGAGCUGCAGUCUCCAAGCCAAGCUCACCUACCCUGCUAACUCCUACAGACUAGCGGCAGCAGCAAACACCUGGAGGAACUGAGUCUGCUGAGCUCAUCAUAGGAACCACUACUCAGUGAAACGCUGCUAUAAAAAUGGCUGUGAAUGGCUUAAUUGUUGURAUGAGGCGCUGAAAGCGGAAGGAGCUUCUUAAAGAGAUGGGYUCAAUUUCAAGGCAUUAAGUUACAGUAAAUUUCAUAUACUCAGCACUUCUAUAACRGCUGAAGACAAUCCAGCGUUAAGAAGCAAUGAGUUUUUCUCUAACCUUAGUUCUAACGUGUGUAAAUGAACGUUUUGUGUGUGUGGUUGAAAUGUUUGUUGCCUUGUGAUUCUGUUUUUUGUGGCAGCCAUCUUGGAACCCUGCUAAAAUGGAUUCCCACCUCAAACCCAACUCUGUUAUAGAAAGCGCAGUUACUAGAGCUGGAAUUUGAUGGGCUGAAGUYUAAACUAGUUAGAAGAAUAAAACGUUUUACAAAUUGUGCAUUUGCAUACRUAAAAUGUCUGCCUUAUAUUCUAUUACUGACAAAUAAUUGUUAGCGUUKACUCCGUGUAUGUGAAAGUUAACUUUUUUUCCUUUUUCUCUCACUCUGGAAGGCUGAGGUGAUUGGCCGAUGUAGAUUGAGAAGGCGGGGUUUAACAGGCAUGGACGUAGCAGUAGGAUUGAUGGCUGCCAUUUUUUAAUCUGCUUUGUUGCACCAGACUUAAUAAAUCAACUUUAUUKCUGUACA